rnacentral:rRNA from 1 species
AGAUUGAACGCUGGCGGCAUGCCUUACACAUGCAAGUCGAACGGUAGAGUAGCAAUACUUGAGAGUGGCGAACGGGUGAGUAAUAUAUCGGAACGUGCCCAGUCGUGGGGGGAUAACGUAGAGAAAUUUACGCUAAUACCGCAUACGAUCUAAGGAUGAAAGCGGGGGACCGUAAGGCCUCGCGCGAUUGGAGCGGCUGAUAUCAGAUUAGGUUGUUGGUGAGGUAAAAGCUCACCAAGCCGACGAUCUGUAGCUGGUUUGAGAGAACGACCAGCCACACUGGGACUGAGACACGGCCCAGACUCCUACGGGAGGCAGCAGUGGGGAAUUUGGACAAUGGGCGAAAGCCUGAUCCAGCAAUGCCGCGUGCAGGAAGAAGGCCUUCGGGUUGUAAACUGCUUUGUACGGAACGAACGGUCUGCUUUAAUACAGUGGCUAAUGACGGUACCGUAAGAAUAAGCACCGGCUAACUACGUACGCCAGCAGCCGACGGUAA